UACGUAGGUGGCAAGCGUUGUCCGGAUUUAUUGGGUUUAAAGGGUGCGUAGGCGGUUCUUUAAGUCAGUGGCGAAAUACUGCAGCUCAACUGUAGCAUUGCCAUUGAUACUGAAGAACUUGAGUACAGAUGAGGUAGGCGGAAUUUAUGGUGUAGCGGUGAAAUGCAUAGAUACCAUAAAGAACACCGAUUGCGAAGGCAGCUUACUAAGCUGUAACUGACGCUGAGGCACGAAAGCGUGGGGAGCGAACAGG
rnacentral:rRNA from 1 species